AUUGAACGCUGGCGGCAUGCCUAACACAUGCAAGUCGAACGGCAGCACAGUAUGUAGCAAUACAUAUGGGUGGCGAGUGGCGGACGGGUGCGUAAUAUGUAGGGAUCUGCCCUGAAGCGGGGGACAACCCGGGGAAACCCGGGCUAAUACCGCAUAAUACUCUACGGAGGAAAUCUGGCACGCAAGUGCUGGGGCUUUAGGAUGAACCUACAUCCGACUAGCUAGUUGGUGAGGUAAUAGCUCACCAAGGCAAUGAUCGGUAGCUGGUCUGAGAGGAUGACCAGCCACACUGGGACUGAGACACGGCCCAGACUCCUACGGGAGUCAGCAGUGGGGAAUAUUGGACAAUGGGGGAAACCCUGAUCCAGCAAUGCCGCGUGGGUGAAGAAGGCCUUCGGGUUGUAAAGCCCUUUAGGUGGGGAAGAAGGUUAUAGGGUGAUAAGCCUUAUAGCUUGACGGUACCCGCAGAAUAAGCACCGGCUAACUCUGUGCCAGCCGCCGCCGUAA
rnacentral:rRNA from 1 species